UACGUAGGGUGCAAGCGUUAAUCGGAAUUACUGGGCGUAAAGCGUGCGCAGGCGGUUUUGCAAGACAGAUGUGAAAUCCCCGGGCUUAACCUGGGAACUGCAUUUGUGACUGCAAGGCUAGAGUGUGUCAGAGGGAGGUGGAAUUCCGCGUGUAGCAGUGAAAUGCGUAGAGAUGUGGAGGAACACCGAUGGCGAAGGCAGCCUCCUGGGCCAGCACUGACGCUCAUGCACGAAAGCGUGGGGGAGCAAACAGG
rnacentral:rRNA from 1 species